rnacentral:rRNA from 1 species
UGGGGAAUAUUGCACAAUGGACGGAAGUCUGAUGCAGCAACGCCGCGUGCGGGAUUACGGCCUUCGGGUUGUAAACCGCUUUUUCUCAUGACGAAGUUUUUUGACGGUAGUGGGGGAAGAAGCACCGGCUAACUACGUGCCAGCAGCCGCGGUGAUACGUAGGGUGCGAGCGUUGUCCGGAAUUAUUGGGCGUAAAGAGCUUGUAGGCGGUUUGUCGCGUCGAUAGUGCAAACUCAGUGCUUAACGCUGAGCCUGCUGUUGAUACGGGCAGACUAGAGGAAGGUAGGGGAGAAUGGAAUUCCCGGUGGAGCGGUGGAAUGCGCAGAUAUCGGGAGGAACACCGGUGGCGAAGGCGGUUCUCUGGGCCUUUCCUGACGCUGAGAAGCGAAAGCGUGGGGAGCGAACAGG